CCACAGGUUUCAUUCGAAACCAAUUCACAAAUCCAUGCAAACUGAUG
rfam:Clonorchis sinensis DNA, scaffold: 243, strain: Henan.